rnacentral:tRNA from 1 species
GCUGGAUUAGCACAAUCGGCAGUGCAGGCGCCCUGUAAGCGUCAGGUUCUGGGUUCAACUCCCAGGUUCAGCUCCA